ACGCUAGCGGCGCGCUUAUGCAUGCAAGUCGAGCGAUGAGACUCCUACGGGAGCACAUCAGCGGCAGACGGGUGAGUAACACGUAGAUGACGUACCCUCAAGACGGGGAUAACGGAUGGAAACAUGCGCUAAUACCGGAUGACCUUACGAUGUCAGAAUGGUAAGGAAAGCUACGGCGCUUGAGGAGCGGUCUGCGGCCCAUCAGCUAGUUGGUAGGGUAAAGGCCUACCAAGGCGAAGACGGGUAGGGGGUGUGAGAGCACGGCCCCCCACAAUGGGACUGAGACACGGCCCAUACUCCUACGGGAGGCAGCAGCAGGGAAUAUUGCACAAUGGACGGAAGUCUGAUGCAGCGACGCCGCGUGAGUGAAGAAGGCCUUCGGGUUGUAAAACUCUUUUGAGGGGGAAGAGCGAGGACGGUACCCCUGGAAUAAGCGUCGGCUAACUACGUGCCAGCAGCCGCGGUAAGACGUAGGACGCGAGCGUUAUCCGGAUUUACUGGGCGUAAAGCGUCUGUAGGCGGAUGUGUAAGUUGGGCGUGAAAGCUCCGGGCUUAACCCGGAGAGGCCGUUCAAUACUGCAUAACUUGAGGGUGUCAGAGGGGAGCGGAAUUCCCGGUGUAGCGGUAAAAUGCGCAGAGAUCGGGAGGAACACCAGUGGCGGAGGCGGUUCCCUGGGGCACACCUGACGCUGAGAGACGAAAGCUAGGGGAGCGAACAGGAUUAGAGACCCUGGUAGUCCUAGCCCUAAACGAUGAAUGCUAGGUGUGGGAUCGAAUGGUUCCGUGCCGGAGCGAACGCGAUAAGCAUUCCGCCUGGGGAGUACGGCCGCAAGGUUAGAACUCAAACGAAUUGACGGGGCCCCGCACAAGCAGCGGAGCGUGUGGUUAAAUUCGAUGCUACACGAAGAACCUUACCUGGGUUUGACAUGUAGGUGGUAGUGAAUCGAAAGGUGAACGACCCUU
rnacentral:rRNA from 1 species